rnacentral:lncRNA from 1 species
CCGUAAUGUCUGGUGAUGUUCCCCAGCCUGUGGGAGGCAGAUGAGAUUGAAACCAGGGUGUACAUGAGUGACCUGGAGCCCGUAAGUAACAGUAACACAGAGCAGAGAGCGCUAGAUGAGGUGGAGCUCAGAGGAGCAUGGGAAGUUGAAUGAGACAGUAAGGAGCAUUCUGGAAGCUAUAAUGGGUAGUUAGGAGAAUGCCAGAGUGAUUCUGAUGCAGUCCUUCCAAAUGCCGGCAGAGCCCAAGCUGUGACCAGUGACGCAGACUGGAAGUCCCGUUUACUGGGAGAGAAGAGGUUAAGGAACACCCAGGUGAACAAUUAGGUCCUCCACAAUGAAGACAGGUAAUGUGGAGGAAAGAGAGCUUGUCAUGGUUCUUGCUCAAGUACCAACUCUAUGGACCCAGGACAGGUUUGUCCCAUGACCUGCUGUGAACAGUGUGUUGUCUGAUAGAAGAUUCGGUUGGCAAACCAUCUCUCUAUUGCCUUACAGAGCAAGCAAAGAAGAUGGAUCGAUUGAAGAGCCAUCUGACUGUGUGCUUUCUACCUUCUGUGCCCUUUUUAAUCCUAGUAUCCACUCUAGCCACCGCUAAGAGUGUGACUAACAGCACUUUAAAUGGCACUAACGUGGUCUUGGGCUCUGUGCCCGUAAUCAUUGCCAGAACUGACCAUAUCAUAGUCAAGGAAGGGAACAGUGCCUUGAUUAACUGUAGUGUUUAUGGCAUC